rnacentral:rRNA from 1 species
UUACUGACGCUCAGGCACGAAAAGCGUGGGGAGCAAAUAGGAUUAGAUACCCCUAGUAGUCCACGCCCUAAACGAUGAUUACUAAAUGUUGGGGAAAACUCAGUGUUGUAGCUAACGCAAUAAGUAAUCCGCCUGGGGAGUAUGCACGCAAGUGUGAAACUUAAAGGAAUUGACGGGGCCCCGCACAAGCGGUGGAGUAUGCGGUUUAAUUCGACGCAACGCGAAGAACCUUACCAGGGCUUGACAUCCCCUGCAAAACUAUAGAGAUAUGGCAGAGGUUAUCAGGGUGACAGGUGGUGCAUGGUUGUCGUCAGCUCGUGUCGUGAGAUGUUGGGUUAAGUCCCGCAACGAGCGCAACCCUUGUCUUUAGUUACCAUCAUUUAGUUGGGGACUCUAGAGAGACUGCCGGUGAUAAACCGGAGGAAGGUGGGGAUGACGUCAAAUCAUCAUGCCCUUUAUGUCCUGGGCUACACGCGUACUACAAUGGCGUACACAACAAGAAGCAAUACAGCGAUGUGGAGCAAAACUUACAAAUUACGUCUCAGUUCGGAUCGAAGUCUGCAACCCGACUUCGUGAAGUGGAAUCGCUAGUAAAUCGCG